rnacentral:rRNA from 1 species
CCCUUAGAUGUUCUGGGCCGCACGCGCGCUACACUGAUUCAUGCAACAAGUUUUGUCCUUGGCUGAUAGGCCUGGGUAAUCUUUGAACGCUGUUCGUGAUUGGGAUAGACCUUUGCAAUUAUGGGUCUUCAACGAGGAAUUCCUAGUAAACGCAAGUCAUCAGCUUGCAUUGAUUACGUCCCUGCCCUUUGUACACACCGCCCGUCGCACCUACCGAUUGAAUGGUCCGGUGAAAUCUCGGGACGGCGGCUUGGUCGCUUGCGUCCGACUGCUGAAACUUGAUUAAACCAUAUCAUUUAGAGGAAGGUGAAGUCGUANCA